rnacentral:rRNA from 1 species
UACGGAGGGGGGCUAGCGUUGUUCGGAAUUACUGGGCGUAAAGCGCACGUAGGCGGCUUUGUAAGUUAGAGGUGAAAGCCCGGGGCUCAACCCCGGAAUUGCCUUUAAGACUGCAUCGCUAGAAUUGUGGAGAGGUAAGUGGAAUUCCGAGUGUAGAGGUGAAAUUCGUAGAUAUUCGGAAGAACACCAGUGGCGAAGGCGACUUACUGGACACAUAUUGACGCUGAGGUGCGAAAGCGUGGGGGAGCAAACAGG